GUUAUUAAUGCAGCUAGAUUGUUUUUUUAAUCAACUGGAACUGUCAGUUCUGCUCAUCCACGUGUGUUUCAAACCCACAUGUAAACACAAGGACGGUAAUAAGAGGAUCAACUCGAGCAAGAAGCCGGUGUCCCGAGGAGAGGAGCUCAGAGCGAAUUUGGACGAGCUGUGGUUCGGAUGUCCUCGGCAGCAGCAGCAGCAGCACAAAAGGUCCAGAUGAAGGUCCAGAUGACCCGGCUCGGUUACGGUUGAGGACCGGUGUGAAGACUGGAGAUGGAAAAGACAGACGAGAUUGCAAAGAAAGGCUGGAGAUGGAGCUGCUGACGAUGACUGUUGAAUUGAUUGAAGUUUUUAUUGUGUAAAAAAAAGUGAAAAUAAAGAA